rnacentral:misc_RNA from 1 species
AUCUUCUCCAACCGGUUUUUCUGAAAAACUGUGCGGGUCCUUGGGCUUGGUUGGCCGCCGCCAACCUUGCCUUAAAUAUAUGAGCUGGAGAUCAGCCGGGUUGCUAAGGCAAUUUUUAGCCCGCGUAUAAGGUCUCCGCUUUACACUAUUAUUAUUAAC